AUGCGCACCAUGGCUUUCCUGAUGGCUUUCGGAGUACUUAUUGGCAAACCCAUUGAAGUUGAGCAAGAAUCUUUGGCAAUCCUGGGGCCGGCCCGGCUCCGGGUUUGGUGCAUCGACCCCCUGUGCAUUCAUGGCUCCCUCGAUGUCUUGCCUGCGGCUGGGCUCUACCGCCGGCUGGAGGCUGACUUGGCUAUGGCCUCGGGUCCGUCUUCUGCUGCAGCCUCUCCUAGUCGUGUGCACCCUAUUCCUGUGCGUUCGCCUGCGUCCACGGCUCGCAAAAGUGGCCGUGUCUCCAACAGUGACAUCUCGAGACUGAACUACACAGUUCUUACCCUCAUUCCUAAAGUCAAAGGCGCUGACCUAAUCUCCCAAUUUAGGCCUAUUGCUCUCAUUAACAACUUUGCUAAGAUCCCAGCCAAGGGUUUGGCUAUUAAACUGUCCCCGAUCGCUCAUCGGGUCAUUAGCCCUUUCCAAUCCGCGUUCAUUAAGGGAAGAUACAUCCUGGAUGGGGUGCUUUGCCUCCACGAAAUUAUCCAUGACCUUCGCAGCAAGAACACCAAGGCUCUGGUUCUCAAGCUCGAUUUUGAAAAGGCUUACGAUUCGCUGGUUAGCAUCAGGCUGGCUUUCCAGUCCCUUGUGAAGUUCGUUGUCCGUAACGGUAAGUCCACGCGUUUUUGGUUAGACUGGUGGGUUGGGGACACCACGCCGGCGGUGGCCCACCCGACUCUGUUCUCGUUUUGUGCUGACCCCGAGAUCUCUAUCUUUGAGCUCUCGGCUCAGGGCUGGGUUCUUGAUUUCCGGUGCUCUCUUUCCCCAGUAGAGUUGGAAGAAUGGCAUCGACUUAUUGCCUGCUUCCCCCUGCUCUCGGAGGAAGAGGACUCCGUGGUUUGGCCUCACUCCUCUUCGGGGUGUUUUUCGGCGAGUGGCGCACGCUACAGCUUCGACGGCACCGUGCGGAAGCUCUGGGUGCUCGCCUCCGACAAGCCCCAUGCCCGCCAGAGCCAUACCAGCCCAAGAACUGAGAUCAGGAUGGCAGGCUACGACUACAGCUCCGGCGUGUGGCAGUUCGAGGGCUAUGGUUACGUCCCCUCCGGCACCACGGGGGUGUCUAUCAUGCAGGUGUUCGGCGCCGGCGAGACGGCCACCACGCUCAUGCUGCAUGUCUACGAUGGCGCGCUGCGGUACUACGACCGGCAGCUCGUGGAGGACUCCAUCUAUGACAGAUGGUUCCGACUGAACGUGGUCCACGAUGUGGAGGCGUCGACGCUCACCGUGUACAUCGACGGCGAGCAGAAGCUGCACGUCCAGGGCCGCGGCGGGGACUCGCACUACUUCAAGUUUGGUGUGUACGCACAGAACCACGACUCCAGCUGCAUGGAGUCUCGCUGGAAGGACGUCAGGAUCUUCAAGAAGCAUUAG
rnacentral:rRNA from 1 species